GGAGGUGGGAGGAAGCCGGAGUACCCGGAGGGAACCCACGCAUUCGCGGGGAGAACAUGUAAACUCCACACAGAAAGAUCCUCAGCCUGUAUUUGAACCCAGGACUAAUCAGGACCUUCGUAUUGUGAGGCAGACGCACUAACCCCUCCUCCACCGUGCUGCAUUCUUCAGCAAAUAAAACAUUUGAGAUAAGAUCCAAUUCAUGGAAAUUUACAGGACACGGUGCACAUUCAUCCGUGUGCGGCGUGCGCCACUCCGGCUGCAGCAGGCAGCUGCACUCAAUCAGCAAUCUGCACACCUGUCGCCGAUGAGCAGAUAUUGUGGAAGUGGAUCCCAUUCUCCCUGGUUCCUCGUCGCUUGUGAGCUGUUCCUUGGUUCGAUUCUUGUUCCUGCCACCUGUCUCCUGUUUUUCUGAUGGAGGAGGUUAACCUGUCCGGAGCGGAGAUGUCGUGUGGAGGAUUUGAGUUCUUUGAGGUAGAGUGUUCUGGGCCAGAACAUAGUUUCCUGUUUUGUACACAGCAUUUCCUCCGUUGCCGCGUUACGAGCUGUGUGUCUCGUCUCCCUGUAGUCCCUCUGGUUCCCGAACUGCCUCUUGGAUCUCGACUUCCCGCCUGGAUACGGAUUUUUACGCCCCUCACCUGCCCUGGACCUCCGAGCUUGCCUUGCCCCCCUGGACUUCCGCACUUUGCUCAACACUCCAGGUAACACACUGCAGCUCAUCUUUUAAAGACCAAAGUAGAGAGGCUAGAUGGAUGAAUCUGCUUUGGAACUUUAUUGGAAGGUCUUGGAUUGUUAGAUGUCUGCCAAGCUGGAUAACCCGGACACACAUGGGGAGGGCAGAAGGGUCUCGUUUGCUCCUUAAUGGCUGACUAGUUCAAGGAAGCAAAUGAAACCUUUUGUUGAGUUUGUUUAUUUACAUCAGCGAUCUCUCUAUUAGCUGGAAAAAAUCAUAAAGCAUCACAAAAACAAUACAAAUGUUCAUAAAUACACUUUCUAUGUACACGCUGUCAUAUGUUUCGGAAAUUAAUCAAAUUGUGCUCACUUUUAUGCCAGCAAAAACAGUGUGUGUGUGUGUGUGUGUGUGUGUGUGUGUGUGUGUGUGUGUGUGUGUGUGUGUGUGUGUGUGUGUGUGUGUGUGUCAUAUUAGAGUUGUGUUGUUGUGCAAUGUGUGGAGUACUCUUGUGUUUGUGUAAAGCUGUACUUUGCAGAGUGUAGUCGUGCACGUUGUCAUACUGGCAGUGAUAUUUCAUCAGUUAAAUGGCUUGAAGCACACACACACACACACACACACACACACACACACA